UUGCCCGUAGUUUUUACCCUAAUUUGUUUAGGGGUUUUCCACGUAAAAUCUGUGCCUCAUUUAUUUUUCUUUCUCAAAUUAUUAUUGCAAUCUGAUCUAUCCCACUUCCGCGGGCGCAACACUGCACUCUUAAACAUAUUUCAUGCAAAAUAAAGUUUAGGCUGUAAAUUUACCUUGUACGAUCCCAGAAGCCUAUCGCGAGCCAAAAUCUGCAAGGAAUAGUCAACUGAAAGCAUUACAUUUAAUAUAUGUUUUUCGUUUAAUUUGUUCUUUUGUCUGUGAGUUUCUGGCAAUUAAUGUCCUAUGCAAGCAACUAUUAUAAGAUCAGAGGAAGAUGAUCUUUGCAUUUUAAUCUAAUUAGUCUCUCAUCAUGCUUUUAUAAUAAGAUCUUCAGCAAUUUUACUGCACUAUAUCAUUCUUAAUACUGAGUAACUUUUUUAUUCAAAAAAAAAAUAAAAAUACUGAGCAACUUUUUAUUAUUUACAAUUCAGUGAAAGAUUCAAGUCUUUGAAGGGCAAUAUUUGUAUCCUAUCAAAACUAGGGACAUGCAAAUUCACAAUUGAUAUCGGGAAUACAGGAACUAUUAGUUCAGUUUGGUUAGAAAUGAAGGCAAAAGUUCUAAGAUGUUACAUUCUUAAGGCACUACUAGAUGGGCUAUAAGAAGAUUGUUCGAUGCUACACUCCACACCCUGGCCUAAUAGGAUUGUGGAGAUUAAAUCACGGUGACUCAGUUGCCCAUUAGGUGGGAGACCAGUGUUUGGUGUCCAUCAGAACUGACAGGGCUUAAUUAUACAUCUUGUCCAUAAUCUACCAUCCAAGAAUCAAUUGAGCUACGGGGGUGGGUGUGGAGCAGCCAAGCAGGGUGAAGAUAGUGAGAAGGAAGGCAGACCUCAGGUGGCUUUACCCACAUUUGACCAUCAUACCAUCCAGUCUCUUCAUAAGGUACAACAGCUGAUAGAAGCCUAUCCCCAACAUAGCUCCAUCCCUUUCAUGAAGAAAUAAAAUCAUCAUCAGAGAAUAAAUAUCGAUUCAGAAAUUUACUGAUAUAACAUCCAAGUAUGAUUUGAAUGAUGUAAAAAGAUCUUACCAGAUAAAUCCUCAGAACAAUCAGUCCUACUAAAAGAGUUGUUCCUGUACCAGAAGCUAGGGCAAAUCGUAAGGGAUCCUGGAAGACAACAAAAGUUUUUCAAAUUCUACCAUAUAUGAGAACUGAGAAGCAGCAAAAGCUUAUUUCUGCAACUGAAAUGACUGCUUCCCUUUUUUUUUUUUAAUAGUAAAAGCAUGAGAGUACCUUGGAAGGAUCAAAGCUAGCAGCUGCAAUGGGCACUCCUAAAACUGUGAAAGUAAUGAACCAAAGGCCCCCAAGACGUAGGAAGAAUGAACCUGGACUCAACUCAGCCCAGGAAUACAUUGCUGAUUCUUUGAGAGAUGAGUAUUCAUUCACCUGUUAACCAAGAUUUGUUCAUUAUUAGUUUGAUGUGAUAGUGCAAGCGCUUACCACUACCUUAUCAAUUGCUGAAUUUUUGCUGAAUUUGGCCCUUUUUUGGCCUCCGCCCAUCAAGUUUCCUUAUUCGUGGCCUAACUCUAAUACCACUCAGAACGAAGAGUUAGAGACGUUAAUUUAUUUCCUUAUACUGCCACCAUAUUUUCUAGAAGCAGGGUAUUGGAUUUGACUCUGCCCAAUAAUUUUCUAACUACCAAUUGUUAAACUGACAAUUUACUGGUCUCCACCGCUUGAACUUGGUUAUAUGACCACAGCAUCCUAGAGACUGCUUUCUAAGAGUUUAUAUUUGCAGAUAUUGAAUAGACAUCAUACCGGCCUCUGUUCAAAUGGCACUUCAAAUUCCAACCCAGGGUCCCAACUCCGACCUGGUAGCCCACCGGUUCCUCCGUUCAUCUCAUCUUUCAGGGCUUUUGCUGUGAACCUCUUUGAUAGGAUCUGUGCUUUGUUAACAUGAACUAUCCAUGAACUGCAACUUCCUCCAGCAUGGUUCCCUUGUUGCCGACCAGGAACUAGAGAGCAGGUAUGGCCCAUAAGAUUAUUCUUGGUGAUCCACGAGUCUCCUGCAUGGUGGUGGUCCAUUGCAUAUUGGGGGAACAGCCUUUGCCAUGAAUCUCUAGCAUGUCAUUUUUCAUCCUGUGCAAGGAAAUAAAUCUGUUAUCCUCAACCUCACUCUGUUCUUAAUGGUUAAGAUCUCUGCUGUAUAGUCAAAAACCAAACAACUACUUCUCGUUCGACCAAUCCUUGUUUUUUGGGUAUGAACUCCCAACAAACAAAGAUUGAAAACAGAAUGCAAUAGGAUGCAUAAACGCAUGGCAGCAACGAAACCGGUAAGCCUCUAUUUAUUCAAUUCUGAUUAUCUGAUAUAAUGUGAACCUAACAGAGUGUACGAAUUGUGUAUAAUAGAAGAAGCAAAUAAUUUCUUAAUAUGCCAACUACUAUGUAGUAUGAUGACGCCUCUGUUACCAUUCCAAAUGGGUGGUCACAGAAUCGGAAAAAAAAAAAAUUAAUAAUAAUAAUAACUUCUUAAUAUACAAAACUAGUUGAAAUGCUGCAAGUUAAGCUGUCAGAUCUUAAAGAUGUAUCAUAGAGAAACAAGUUGAGAUGUCACAUCAUGAGAAAAUUUCAGCUAUAUAUGGUAGAGGCAAAAUAAUUUUUAAUGAGGUUAGCAAGGGGAAGAACAUCUACAGAAAAUACUUGUGAAAGCUGCAAUAGAGAUGUUUGCAGUGGGUAGUAGGAAUACAGAAGGUGAACAUAUCUGCUACGCUACAACUAGAGCUAUAGAACAAAUAUAUAUAUAUAUAUAUAUAUAUAUAUAUAUAUAUAUAUAUAUAUAUAUGACUCCGUACGUGUUAUCCACAAAAUGACAUCUGUUUUUCUCUGGUUCAUUUGGGAGUCUCAAGUAGUUGUGAAGAAAACUUAAAUUUUGGAGAGCAAAGUAUUGGUAACCUAAGGUGACCAAACACACAAGAAUGCAAGUAUUAAAUUUCACGACAUUUGACUAAGCUAUGUAAGUAUUGCAGCUUGGUAAACAGUAGUUGUGUCAAACAGUAUAUACAAAACAAAUGAAAGGGGAUUAUGUUAUAUGUAUAAAGAACACUCAUAUCUACCUUCCAAUCAGUGAUGCUCCUUGACAGAAGGGCUAUAUACUGCUCCAUUGCCUCCUCCCGGCUAAUGUCACCUAGCCUUUGCCAAGCAUUCCUAUCGGUGGUUAUAAACUUAAGUUAUCAACUCCUGCUGUUAUUUUAAGUUCACCAAAACAGAAUUUAAAGAUUGCAUAAAUCGAGUUCGUAUAUAACGAACUUGACAUAACUCCACUCCCCCAUCGAAUACUCAAUUAUGGGCUGCAGGGCUAAGAAAACUCAAUUUUGUUACACUGUCAACAUAAGCUUAGAGUCAUGGUGUUCAUUUACCAUCCUAUCCUGUCUAAUGUGUGAUGAAUACUUUAGGCGAAGAUCACAACAAAUUUGAUCAGAAGUCAUACAUACUAACAAACUAUUUGAUUUCAAUCUCUAACAUUAACAGCAUAGAAAGGUUGUGCAGUGGUGAGUACCAUUUGGCGCGAGCCGAGAGCUUCAAUGCCAUGGGCUGAGUUCUGCAACAAGGCCCGUCGGUAGCGACCUUGUGAAGGCCAUAAAGCUGCAUCUUCACACCAUUGUCAAGCUGAUCAGCAUUGGCCUUUGAAUCCACAAACACCACUGCAGUGCCAAAAGCCUUCUCCAGGUCUGUUCUCUCAAUCCCUUCCCACUCAUCAUCAAACACUCCCUCCUCUCUUAAUAUCUCAUUUUCCUCUGAAACUUCAUCUCCCUCCAUCUUUCUUGGCCCUUCAAUCUCACCAUGCUCUAUGUGAAUUUCGCGAAAAUCUUCUUCAACAGGACCCUCUACUUCAAUUUCUUGAACCUUUCCUCUCUCAGGACUUUCAUCGACUACUUGGUCUACAAUUUCAUCAUCCUUAUCUUCUACUCCCCCUUGAUGAGCUACUUUUUCCACACUUUCAUCGUCCCCACCACCGACAAUCCCUUCAUCUACAAAACCUUUAUUAACUUCCAGCCUCUCUGCCUUUUCAGUGGCAUCUACGCAGCAGAAACCCAUGUUUUUGUGCCUUGCAAGAGAAGCGUUGGAAUGGAAUUUGGAGAGGAUGAAAUAGAUGAGCACAGAGAGGCCAACAGUAAAGGCCAAUUCUUGGAAGAGCAUGAUAUCCAGGUCCAUAUUGCAUAGAGAGAGUAAUAUGAGAGGAGUGAAAAGAAGGGAAUUCUCUCUGAGACUAAACAAAAGGGGAGGGGAUUUUGGAGGAGCAGAGCAAAGUAUAUUCUGAUUUCUGAGAGAUGAGAAUAGAUGGGUUGUGGCGAUGGUGUGCUGGCAGGCAAGCUUUCGCAAAAACAGGGAAAAGGCGAGUUGUCUGAAAACGAUGGUUUCACUAACGAUCGAUGUAUCGAAACCUCAACCGGCCUUGUUUUCUCGGCACCCUCUGUCUUUUACCAAGAAUUUGUGCAAUCCCUUUCUUGUCUUGUUUCUCUUCUCUUCCUCUCCUAUUGUUUUUUCCUUCUUACCCUCCUUUCUUCUUAUAUCUUAUCCUUUAAUAACUAUAAUAAAAGUGAAAUUGUAAGUUUAAUAUCAACCAACAAUUCAACUUGAUGGAUUAUUAUUAAGUAAAGUA